rnacentral:rRNA from 1 species
UACGUAGGGUGCAAGCGUUAAUCGGAAUUACUGGGCGUAAAGCGUACGCAGGCGGCUUUGCAAGACAGGUGUGAAAUCCCCGGGCCUAACCUGGGAACUGCAUUCGAGACUGCAUAGCUAGAGUAUGGGAGAGGGAAGUGGAAUUUCAGGUGUAGCGGUGAAAUGCGUAGAUAUCUGAAGGAACAUCAGUGGCGAAAGCGACUUCCUGGACCAAUACUGACGCUCAUGUGCGAAAGCGUGGGGAGCAAACAGG